GACGUAGGGCUCGAGCGUUGUCCGGAUUUAUUGGGCGUAAAGAGCUCGUAGGCGGUCUGUCGCGUCGGUCGUGAAAACUUGGGGCUUAACCCCGAGCUUGCGGUCGAUACGGGCAUGACUGGAGUUCGGCAGGGGAGACUGGAAUUCCUGGUGUAGCGGUGAAAUGCGCAGAUAUCAGGAGGAACACCGGUGGCGAAGGCGGGUCUCUGGGCCGAUACUGACGCUGAGGAGCGAAAGCGUGGGGAGCAAACAGG
rnacentral:rRNA from 1 species